CAGUCGAGCGGACAGAUGGGAGCUUGCUCCCUGAUGUUAGCGGCGGACGGGUGAGUAACACGUGGGUAACCUGCCUGUAAGACUGGGAUAACUCCGGGAAACCGGGGCUAAUACCGGAUGCUUGUUUGAACCGCAUGGUUCAAACAUAAAAGGUGGCUUCGGCUACCACUUACAGAUGGACCCGCGGCGCAUUAGCUAGUUGGUGAGGUAAUGGCUCACCAAGGCAACGAUGCGUAGCCGACCUGAGAGGGUGAUCGGCCACACUGGGACUGAGACACGGCCCAGACUCCUACGGGAGGCAGCAGUAGGGAAUCUUCCGCAAUGGACGAAAGUCUGACGGAGCAACGCCGCGUGAGUGAUGAAGGUUUUCGGAUCGUAAAGCUCUGUUGUUAGGGAAGAACAAGUACCGUUCGAAUAGGGCGGUACCUUGACGGUACCUAACCAGAAAGCCACGGCUAACUACGUGCCAGCAGCCGCGGUAAUACGUAGGUGGCAAGCGUUGUCCGGAAUUAUUGGGCGUAAAGGGCUCGCAGGCGGUUCCUUAAGUCUGAUGUGAAAGCCCCCGGCUCAACCGGGGAGGGUCAUUGGAAACUGGGGAACUUGAGUGCAGAAGAGGAGAGUGGAAUUCCACGUGUAGCGGUGAAAUGCGUAGAGAUGUGGAGGAACACCAGUGGCGAAGGCGACUCUCUGGUCUGUAACUGACGCUGAGGAGCGAAAGCGUGGGGAGCGAACAGGAUUAGAUACCCUGGUAGUCCACGCCGUAAACGAUGAGUGCUAAGUGUUAGGGGGUUUCCGCCCCUUAGUGCUGCAGCUAACGCAUUAAGCACUCCGCCU
rnacentral:rRNA from 1 species